ensembl:lncRNA
GCCUGCCCUGCUGCAGUGAUGGAUUGCAUGGGCUGACAUUGAAGCUUCUGCUCCUUUCUUCCCCCCCAUCCUCUGCUGGUGGAGCUGAGUGGGCUGAAUAUUUUCCACACAACAGACCCAAGCAAACGUCUCAUGAUCUAAUCCCAGUCCUUGGAGGUUUGAGGGGGAGUUUCUAGCCUGGGCUGCAGCUGUGUAUGUGUCUGUAUCCAGCAAUGCGUGAACCAGCCUCUGACACACGCAGUGUCUUUGAGGAAGCUCUGGAAAACAUCUGGAAAAUCAUGUCCCUGUUCUCCAAAGACAGCAGCAUCUGUCACCUUGCUGUUUGCCUUGUGUCCUGCCUCCCUUUGGACCACCGUUGCCUUCUGCUCCCAUCUGAGGCAUCGUCUGCGUGGUUACACACUGCUCGGGAGGAAGAGCUCUGCAACAUUAACUCGGUUUCUAAUGAUCUUGUCAUAGUGAACACCGCAGCGAGAUUAAAUGAAAGACCGGGAAGAGUCAAGAGCAAAACUCAGCCCUUCAGAUGGACGGAGCUGCAGGUUGCAGCUGCUCACUGGGGCAGGAGCUCCUACCAAAAGGUCUGCUGGGCAGCCCUGGCUGCAGGAACCCAGUGGGGAACCUCUAUGGGCAACUGCAGGGCUGGCACAGAGCUACGCUGGGACUGCCAGACCUGCUCAGCUGUUGGUGAAGGAGUGACACGUUACCUGUUGGAACCUCUCACAACUCGUUACGUACCAUAAAAAGUUGCCAUUUAUGUAUUUAUGGAGAUGGAAGUGAAUUGUAGGUGAGGCGUGCAUUUUGCACAGCAGCCCCCAGUGGGGAUUGGGCACAAAUCUCACCAAGAGAGGUAUGGCACAAAUUCAGCCAAACACCAGGGAGUGCCUAAGGUGAAGUAGCGAGGCUCUUUGUACAGCAAUAGCAGCUCUUUCUGUUUGCUGUGCAUCAGCUAAAACCCAUCACAUCUUACUGUCAUCUCAGCAAUGAACUGUCCAUGUGAUGCUCCUGGUUUGUAUGUUGGCUUCUCUGAAUCCUUUUGGUGAUGAACACAUUCGUGCACAUCUACCCUGGAGCUUUCUGCUGGGAAUGUCCCAGCUGGGCAGCACACAGGGUUGGGGCACUGCAUCCAGCAGCAGGGCUGGGUCCAUUCCUCAGCACCUCUAGCAUAGCCCUCCUUUUGCAGAAGCCUCUUUCCCCAGAGGAAACAACGCUCACAACGCCUCACAUCUGCUCUGCUCAGCCACAGAACAUUCCAAAAUUCAGGAUGGCAACAGUAGGGCGCUGAGUUCAGUGUGGGGCAGGCUGGUGGUGGGCACAGUCCCUGCAUGCAGUGCCAGGACCCUCUGUCCCACUCAGCCCUGUCCUCUUACAGUGGGCUGCACGAUGCCCACAGCCAUCCCCAUCACCCCACAGGCACUGUUUUCACUUCACACCUACCAAGGGACUCUAAAUAUAUCCUAGACAAUUUCCUCUCCUCAUUUUUAAUAAUCUCUCUCAGCCUUAAAUUAGUUUUCGAAAAUACGUAUUGAGGAUGAUGGGCUUUUUAUCACAGCUGAUAGACAAUAUUCAUCACACCCGUGUCCUCAUCCUCACAACACGCACGCAUUCAUUACAGCAGCCCCACAUCCAUUUUACCAACGUUUAAUUCGCUCCAUCUCUAUCACUGCGUGCACACAUUCCCCACAGCAUCCUCACGUGCCAUUUGUCAUCUACCCCGAGGAGAUGGAGAGCUCUGAGCCCUCAGCUCAGGGCAGGGACCGCAGGGAAAGCUGUGCCAGCAGAGCCCAUGGGUGCAGCUCCUCCUGCACAGCAGUGCAGGAAGCCUUGCUGGAAGCAGAGGACGAUGCAUCAGAGCAGAUGAGGAGCCAUGAUGAUCUUUUUAGGCCCAAGCUGAGAGCAAGAAAAGGAAGCUACGUAACCUGGGGAAUGGUGACAAAGUGGAAAAUCACCAAAGCUGGAGAAGCUGAGCAUUAAAAUGAGCGUUGCAGGGAAAGUGAAGCUCUCAACAUCUGUCACGUCCCAGGAGCGUGGAGUUGUCUGCUGGACUAAAAUAAAUCCAGGCAGGCUGGCUGGGAGAGCCCA